rnacentral:rRNA from 1 species
GAUGAACGCUAGCGGCAGGCUUAACACAUGCAAGUCGAGGGGUAUAGGUUUUCGGACCUAGAGACCGGCGCACGGGUGCGUAACGCGUAUGCAAUCUACCUUUCACAGAGGGAUAGCCCAGAGAAAUUUGGAUUAAUACCUCAUAGUAUAGCAGUUUCGCAUGAAACCACUAUUAAAGUUCCAACGGUGAAAGAUGAGCAUGCGUCCCAUUAGCUAGAUGGUAAGGUAACGGCUUACCAUGGCUACGAUGGGUAGGGGUCCUGAGAGGGAGAUCCCCCACACUGGUACUGAGACACGGACCAGACUCCUACGGGAGGCAGCAGUGAGGAAUAUUGGUCAAUGGACGCAAGUCUGAACCAGCCAUGCCGCGUGCAGGAUGACGGUCCUAUGGAUUGUAAACUGCUUUUGUACGAGAAGAAUCAACAUUACGUGUAAUGUCUUGACGGUAUCGUAAGAAUAAGGAUCGGCUAACUACGUGCCAGCCGCCGCCGUAAUAC